rnacentral:rRNA from 1 species
CCGCAAACCGACUCAGGUGGGCGGGGUGAGAAUCCCAAGGCGCGUGAGAGAACCCAGGCUAAGGAACUCGGCAAAAUGACACCGUAACUUCGGGAGAAGGUGUGCCGUGGCGCGUGAAGAGGCUAGCCCUCGGAGCGUUCUGCGGUCGCAGAGAAAUGGGGGUUGUGACUGUUUACUAAAAACACAGGACUCUGCGAAGUCGUAAGACGACGUAUAGGGUCUGACGCCUGCCCGGUGCUGGAAGGUUAAGGGGAAGAGUCAGCGCAAGCGAAGCUCUGAACCGAAGCCCCAGUAAACGGCGGCCGUAACAAUAACGGUCCUAAGGUAGCAAAACUCCUUGUCGGGUAAGUUCCGACCUGCACGAAUGGCAUAACAACAUCCCCGCUGUCUCGGCCUGGGACUCAGCGAAAUUGUAUUGGGGGUGAAGAUACCCUCUACCCGCGGCAAGACGGAAAGACCCCAUGAACCUUUACUGCAACUUGGCAGUGGUUUUCGGGACAUUCUGCGUAGGAUAGGUGGGAGGCUUUGAAGUCGGGGUUCCGGCCUCGGCAGAGCCAACGUUGAAAUACCACCCUGGAUGUUCUGGAAACCUAACCUAGGCCCCUCACGGGGUCGGGGACACUGCCUGGUGGGCAGUUUGACUGGGGCGGUCGCCUCCUAAAAAGUAACGGAGGCGUGCGAAGGUUCCCUCAGGCUGAUUGGAAACCAGCCGUAGAGUGCAAACGCACAAGGGAGCUUAACUGCGAGACCGACAGGUCGAGCAGGUGCGAAAGCAGGCGUUAGUGAUCCUGUGGUUCUGUAUGGAAGGGCCAUAGCUCAUCGGAUAAAAGGUACUCUGGGGAUAACAGGCUGAUCGCGCCUGAGAGUUCACAUCGGCGGCGCGGUUUGGCACCUCGAUGUCGGCCCAUCGCAUCCUGGGGCUGGAGCAGGUCCCAAGGGUUCGGCUGUUCGCCGAUUAAAGCGGUACGCGAGCUGGGUUUAAAACGUCGUGAGACAGUUUGGUCCCUAUCUGCCGUGGGCGUAGGAUGCUUGAGAGGAGCUAACCAUAGUACGAGAGGACCUGGUUGGACGCGCCUCUGGUGUCCCGGUUGUCCUGCCAAGGGCAUAGCCGGGUAGCCAUGCGCGGAACGGAUAACCGCUGAAAGCAUCUAAGCGGGAAGCCGGCCUCAAGACAAGGCAUCCCGGGCCGUAAGGCCCCUCAAGACCCCUCGUAGACUACGAGGUCAUAGGCCGGGUGUGAAAGUGGCAAACCACGGAGCUAGCCGGUACUA